rnacentral:rRNA from 1 species
UACGUAGGGUGCGAGCGUUAAUCGGAAUUACUGGGCGUAAAGCGUGCGCAGGCGGUUUUGUAAGCCAGAUGUGAAAUCCCCGGGCUCAACCUGGGAACUGCAUCUGUGACUGCAUCGCUGGAGUGCGGCAGAGGGGAUGGAAUUCCGGCGUGUAGCAGUGAAAUGCGUAGAUAUGCGGAGGAACACCGAUGGCGAAGGCAAUCCCCUGGGCCUGCACUGACGCUCAUGCACGAAAGCGUGGGGAGCAAACAGG